rnacentral:rRNA from 1 species
AGUGAACGCUGGCGGUAGGCCUAACACAUGCAAGUCGAACGGCAGCACAGUAAGAGCUUGCUCUUACGGGUGGCGAGUGGCGGACGGGUGAGGAAUACAUCGGAAUCUACUUUUUCGUGGGGGAUAACGUAGGGAAACUUACGCUAAUACCGCAUACGACCUACGGGUGAAAGCAGGGGAUCUUCGGACCUUGCGCGAUUGAAUGAGCCGAUGUCGGAUUAGCUAGUUGGCGGGGUAAAGGCCCACCAAGGCGACGAUCCGUAGCUGGUCUGAGAGGAUGAUCAGCCACCCUGGAACUGAGACACGGUCCAGACUCCUACGGGAGGCAGCAGUGGGGAAUAUUGGACAGUGGGCGCAAGCCUGAUCCAGCCAUACCGCGUGGGUGAAGAAGGCCUUCGGGUUGUAAAGCCCUUUUGUUGGGAAAGAAAAGCAGCAGGUUAAUACCCCGCUGUUCUGACGGUACCCAAAGAAUAAGCACCGGCUAACUUCGUG